rnacentral:sRNA from 1 species
GUGAGGAGCACUCUGCAAACCCGUUCCACUGGGACCUGAUUGGGAAGAACCUGUUUGCCAUGCUGGUGGAAGGGGUGGUGUACUUCCUCCUGACCCUCCUGGUCCAGCGCCACUUCUUCCUCUCCCAAUGGAUUGCUGAGCCCACUAAGGAGCCCAUUGUUGAUGAAGAUGAUGAUGUGGCUGAAGAAAGACAAAGAAUUAUUACUGGUGGAAGUAAAACUGACAUCUUAAGGCUACAUGAACUAACCAAGAUUUAUCCAGGCACCUCCAGCCCAGCAGUGGACAGGCUGUGUGUUGGAGUUCGCCCUGGAGAGUGCUUUGGCCUCCUGGGAGUGAAUGGUGCCGGCAAAACAACCACAUUCAAGAUGCUCACUGGGGAUACCACAGUGACCUCAGGGGAUGCCACCGUAGCAGGCAAGAGUAUUUUAACCAAUAUUUCUGAAGUCCAUCAAAAUAUGGGCUACUGUCCUCAGUUUGAUGCAAUUGAUGAGCUGCUCACAGGACGAGAACAUCUUUACCUUUAUGCCCGGCUUCGAGGUGUACCAGCAGAGGAAAUCGAAAAGGUUGCAAACUGGAGUAUUAAGAGCCUGGGCCUGACUGUCUACGCCGACUGCCUGGCUGGCACGUACAGUGGGGGCAACAAGCGGAAACUCUCCACAGCCAUCGCGCUCAUCGGCUGCCCACCGCUGGUGCUGCUGGUAACUGCGGGCUUGGGCCACACCAAGGGCUUAAACCAAGUGCUGCGUCUCUCGGGUUGGGGAAAUAGGUUCUGGGUUGGCAGAUUUAGAAACUGCAGCAAUUUGGCUUUAGUCUGGACUGUUUCCUGUGUUGCUCAUUUUGAGCGAUCAGCCCAGUGUUUGGUUCACACAGCUCUGGAGAAAAACAAGUCAUGGCACAGCUUUGACUUGGGACUGCGCACAUCCUGCGUUCCCAGGCUGUCUCCUGUGGGGCCAUCGGCUCACAGCCGGGAAGUUUGGCCUGCUCUGCAGCCUGUCGGUGUCUGGUCCCCAUACAGGAGCACUGAGCUGGGUCAAAGGCUCCUGAGC